AUUGAACGCUGGCGGCAGGCCUAACACAUGCAAGUCGAGCGAGCGGCGGACGGGUGAGUAAUGUCUAGGAAACUGCCUGAUGGCGGGGGAUAACUACUGGAAACGGUAGCUAAUACCGCAUACCAUCAGAUGUGCCCAGAUGGGAUUAGCUGGUAGGUGGGGUAACGGCUCACCUAGGCGACGAUCCCUAGCUGGUCUGAGAGGGUGACCGGCCACACUGGAACUGAGACACGGCCCAGACUCCUACGGGAGGCAGCAGUGGGGAAUAUUGCACAAUGGGCGAAAGCCGGAUGCAGCAAGGCCGCGUGUGUGAAGAAGGCCUUCGGGUUGUAAAGCACUUUUGGCAGGGAGGCGUUACCCGCAGAAGAAGCACCGGCUAACUCCGUGCCAGCAGCCGCGGUAAUUC
rnacentral:rRNA from 1 species